UGUAGCGGAACGCCAAUAUUAAAUCCACGAAUUCCGCUGGUUCAGGAAAUAAUCCACAGUCGAGCGCUGGAAAAAGCAAGGCAAUAUCCCAAAUCUCCCAGUAACCGGACGAAACACAGUUCUGAGAGUCAACUGAGGUCUUUUAUUUCAGCUCCACAAUUUAUACAAGUCCCCAUGCAAGGGGUUUCUUGAGUCCCUUCCCAGAGGGGACUACAUGGGGGACUUAUUAUACCGUUGAGUGGAUUAUCCCUCCGUGCAGCAGAACCUACAAUUCGUAUUAAAAUGCAUAACUGUAGUAAUAUACGGUCUAUUUGCACGAAUGGAUGUUCGGUAGAUAGCUGGGGUCUGAGCGCAUCAUUCGUGAGAUUACCGCUCAGAUCCCAGCUAAAACAACCGAACGCCGCACGAAAAACACAUUUAUUAAAAGACAUGUUCCAGGAAACAAAGUAACGAAUGGCCCGGAGCUCCCGAACGGCCUGGAGGUUCAGCGGUGUUCGCGCCGUCGAGUAGCCGUUUUUAGUACCAUGCGCUCGACGACCUAACACCGCUGAGGGAACAAAGGAUCCAAGAUGGCCGACCGCCGCAUGGUCGGUAGUCGAACGGCGGCCACCUAGGAGAGCCUCUAAUUACCGAUUGCAACAUUGUUGCAAUCGGUUAACAAGCGCCACACGCCUCUAAGUGUGUGGGCUAUUACAUGGGGGUGUUUUCGGUUCACGAACGGCCCGCAAAAGUGCCGUUCGUGAAACUAAAGAAAAAUCCAAUACAAACAGCUAUCUGCAUUCGGCAGAUAGCCAAUACAACAAAUACAUGUAAAUACAACCCGUAUACAUUCAACAUAGUUAAGCCCGUAUCUCCCAACCAUAUAGGCAACCCUUAAAGGCACAGUCUCGUUAUAGUGUCCAAGUGGCUAUGUUUGCCACAAUGCUCCCCCAGAACCAAGCCGGCAUACACAGUCUGAUCCCAACGGAUCGGCUUGGGGAUGUCCGGAGGAGGGCUCACAGAUCACUUUUCAAGGUCGGUUUGUCUAGAUAACCCGUCGGCGUUACCGUUUUGUUUUCCCGGGCGAUAAUGGAUAGUAAAGUCAAAAGGCUGCAGCGCCAAACUCCAGCGCAGCAGCCUGGCAUUGUCUCCAGCCACACGGUUCAGCCACACCAACGGGUUGUGAUCUGUGAGUAAAGAGAAGGGUUGCCCAUAGAGAUACGGCUAUAACUUUUUGAGGGCCCACACCACGGCCAGGCAUUCUUUUUCGAUGGCAGCGUAGCUCACUUCUCGGGGAAACAGUUUCCGGCUCAAAUAAGCUACGGGAUGUUCUCCGCCAUCUGCUCCCACCUGGCUCAGUACUGCUCCCAAUCCAAACAUGGAGGCAUCUGUGUGGACAAGAAAACGUUUAGUUGGAUCAGGAGCAGCAAGUACAGGAGCAUUUGUCAGAGCCGUCUUCAGUUGGUUAAAUCCCUGUUCACACUCUGGGGCCCAGAGGACCUGUCUGGGUAGGUUUUUCCACGUCAAGUCAGUCAGGGGCUUGGCCAGGGCACUGUAAUUGGGCACAAACUUCCUAUAAUACCCGGCGGUACCUAAGAAAGCAAGGACUUGCGUUUUAGUCCUAGGGGUGGGCCACUUGGCUACGGCUUCAAUCUUUGCGGGCUCAGGCUUCUGUUGCCCGCUCCCCACUCGGUGUCCUAAGUAUUGCACCUCCGCAAUCCCUAUGUGGCACUUGCUUGUUUUUAAGGUAAGCCCUGACUCUCCAAUCCGAUCUAUCACGGCCCCUAUGUGUCGUAGAUGAUCAGCCCGGGGCAUCCGGGGCAUCGGGUAGGCGUCCGACACGGUUUUGUCGUUUAGCCUCUGGUAGUCCACACAAAACCGGGUUGUAGCGUCUUUCUUGGGAACCAGGACUACCGGCGAUGCCCAGGGGCUAUCAGAGUGUUCGAUAACCCCCAACUGCAACAUCUCCUCAAUCUCUUUCCUCAUAUGCUCCCGUAUGGAUUCGGGAAUCCGAUAUGGGGUCUGUCGCAUAGGAAGCUGUCCCGGGGUUUCUACUCGGUGAGUGGCCAGUGGACUGUACCCAGGUAAGUUAGAAAAGGUGGCGCCCUUCGCCGCUAUCAGUUCCUGUACUUGGGUGCGCUCUUGAGGACUUAGCCGCUCCCUCAGCUGAACCCCCUGGGAGGGCUCCUUCUGCUCCUCCUGCUCUAACAGAUCUGGGAGAGGUAGGUUCUCCUGAUCUUCCUAGGCGGGAGUGCAAAUGGCUGCCACGUCCUCGGUUCUCUCGUGGUAGGGUUUGAGCAUGUUCACAUGGAGCAUGCGUCGCUUCCCUACCCUGGAGCAUGGGCCAAUCACAUAGGUGGUAUCGCAUCUCUGCUCUACCACCUGGUAUGGGCCCUGCCAGACGGCCUGUAGUUUGUCUGUGCGGACAGGUUUGAGAAUUAACACCUUCUGCCCCACUUGAAAACUACGGUCUCUGGCCCCCCUGUCAUACCAACGGCGCUGACGUUGUUGGGCGGCCUGGAGGUUAGUGCGCACUGCCUGGGUCAAUUCCUCCAGGCGAUUCCGGAACGCCAGCACAUAUGGUACAAUAGGGGUCCCAUCUGCGCUACUCUCCCCCUCCCAAUGCUCUCUAAUGAGGUCCAACGGUCCCCGUACCCUUCUCCCAAACAACAGCUCAAAUGGGGAGAAGCCGGUAGAUUCUUGGGGUACCUCCCUGUAUGCAAACAACAGAUGGGGAAGGAACCGCUCCCAGUCUUUAUGGGUCUCCCCGAAUGUACGGAGCAUCUGUUUUAAAGUACCGUUGAACCUCUCACAUAAUCCGUUGGAUUGGGGAUGGUAAGCAGAGUUAACGAUCAGCUUAAUGCCACAUACUUUCCAUAGCUGCUGGGUGACCUCGGCUAUAAAUUGUGUCCCCCUAUCGGAGAUAAUUUCCUGCGGGAACCCUACUCUUGAAAAGAUUUUCAUCAGGGCUUCUGCCACUGUCUCCGCAUGAAUAUUUGUUAGGGCAAUCGCCUCGGGGUACCGGGUGGAGUAGUCCACCACGGUCAGUAUAUACCGCUUCCCAGAGGGGCUGGGUUUGGGUAGCGGUCCCACUAUAUCUACGGCCACACGGCUAAAAGGUUCCUCAAUUAUAGGUAGGGGACACAGUUUCGCUUUGUGGCGAUCCCCUCUCUUACCUACCUGCUGACACACAUCACAGGAGGUACAAUAGUGCCUUACAUCUUUAGAAAUCCCGUGCCAGAAGAAAGCGUGGGUUAAGCGAUACCGGGUACGAGUCAUCCCUAAAUGGCCAGACAGAGGGAUGUCAUGAGCUAUUCUCAAUAACUCGGGUCUAUAUUUCUGGGGUACUACCAGCUGUUUGGUUUGAACUGUCACAGAGCUCCCUAUCGCCCUUUCAGCUAUCCGGUACAACAAUUUGUUUUCCCAAAUGUACCGCUCCCCCUCCCAUCCUACCUGGUCCGUGUCCACCCUAUCCCUGUACACCUGCAGUGUGGGGUCUGUCUGGACCUCAGCUUCAAAGGUGGUCGGGGUGUCCCAGGUCAUAUGAGUCGAGGGGAGUCAUGGUCUCUUACCUGAGCCUCAGAGUGUGCUGGUGGAACCGUGGUGCGAGCCUGUUGCCGGGUAGUUAUGGGAUGAGCUUCUUGCGAAGGGGCCUGAGGUACGAAGGCCGAAGUCAUCUGGCCCAAGUCAUUCCCCAAUACGACAUCUGCCGGUAACUUUUUCAUCAUAGCCACUUCCACAACCCCCUCCCCAGCACCCCAGUUCAAAUGCACCUUUGCAGUGGGUAGACGGUACAUGGCUCCCCCUGCCACCCUGACUGCCACCGAUCCGCCAGUGUGGGCUGUAUCUGGGACCAAAUGUGGAGCAACCAGGGUUAAAGUGGCUCCCGAGUCCCUCAGCCCCUGUACUUCUUUCCCCCCCACAAACACAACUUGACGGUGGUGCUGCCUGUAGUCCGUGGCUUGCACAGACAUUACCUCAUACAAAACCCCCAGGGGUUCCUCGGCCUGCAGGCUCAUCAGCUCAGGGGUGUCUGGUUCUGCGUGGUAAUAAUGCGCCGCUGCCCUUUGGGUGGAAUUCUGCCGCACUUGGUUCCACGCCUGUCUACUCCGAUUCUGGGUGCACUCCCGGGACAUAUGCCCCCACUGACGGCAGGUAUGGCAUUGGAUGUUUGCCCUGCCAUUGUAGCGGGAUGGUGGUGGGGGGUUUCCUGGUGCUGGCCGGAAUGGAGUGGAGUUGGUUGGUGCCUAGGUGGUCGGGUGGUGCUGUACAGGUGGUCUCAGGGGACCCUUGUUGGUGGGCCCAUGAUGCCUCCUGGCAUCAAAGUGUUGAUCCGCCAACCGGGCGGCUUCAGUUAGGGUGAGGAGUUUUCUGUCCCUUACCCAUUCUUGUGCCUCUGGUAAAAGUCCGUUAAAGAACUGCUCCAGUAAAAUUAGUUGGCACAGUUCCUCCAUGGUGGUGGCUUGGCUGGCCUGAAUCCACCCUUGCGAAGCUUGGUCGAGCUUAUGUGCCCACUCAGCGUGGGAAUCUUUUUCAGGCUUCCACAAUCCCCGAAAUUUGCGCCGAUACGCCUCCGGUGUGAUGGCAUAUCUCUCUAGGAUCGCCCGUUUGACUUUGAAAUAGUCUUUGCUUUCCUCUCUGGGGACAGCGCGAUAGGCCUCUGCUGCCCGCCCUGCCAACUUGCCUGCUAGCAGGGGUACCCACACUGCCUGCUCCAGGUCGUGUAGGUCACAUAGCCGCUCAAAAUCCUGCAGAUACCCGUCAAUCUCAUCCUUCUCCUCACAGAAUGCUUUAAACGCCUGGUACGGUAUCUUCUGUUUCACUGGAGCGCAGAAUGAAUUAGCGAUGGAUUCUGCCCUGGAUGGUGCCCCCUGGUACUGUUGUGCAAUAAUGUAUUCCUGUACGUCUGCCAUCAGGACGGUCAAGAUGUCCAGGGUUACUGGCUGGGGUAAAAAAUUCCAGCCGGGUUCUCAGUUCCCUCUGAUAUGGGGUUUCCUCCCUGGCUGGUGGGGGUGGGCUGCUGUGUGCUCGGUAGCCCUCCAUCAGUUCUGCAAUUAGUACUGCCUUUGAUUUAUUGCUAGCGCUUUUCCCUCUAGCCUCCAGCAGUUCCUUUAGCGUCUGCCUUUUCAAAGUCGUGUAAUCAGUCCCCAUUCACUGAUCUCUUUCGUCUGUUUGCUGCAUACGAAUUGCCAUUCCCUUUUUCCGUUCGGUUGUUUCUUUCAUUCGAAUGCGCUGUAUUCGGCUGUAGAGUUGGAUCCCGUCGCUUGCCACCAAUUGUAGCGGAACGCCAAUAUUAAAUCCACGAAUUCCGCUGGUUCAGGAAAUAAUCCACAGUCGAGCGCUGGAAAAAGCAAGGCAAUAUCCCAAAUCUCGCAGUAACCGGACAAAACACAGUUCUGAGAGUCAACUGAGGUCUUUUAUUUCAGCUCCACAAUUUAUACAAGUCCCCAUGCAAGGGGUUUCCUGAGUCCCUUCCCAGGGGCAGUCCCAGAGGGGACUACAUGGGGGACUUAUUGUACAAGCUAUUUCUCCC
rnacentral:lncRNA from 1 species